rnacentral:rRNA from 1 species
GAUGAACGCUGGCGGCGUGCCUAAUACAUGCAAGUCGAGCGAACAGACGAGGAGCUUGCUCCUCUGACGUUAGCGGCGGACGGGUGAGUAACACGUGGAUAACCUACCUAUAAGACUGGGAUAACUUCGGGAAACCGGAGCUAAUACCGGAUAAUAUAUUGAACCGCAUGGUUCAAUAGUGAAAGACGGUUUUGCUGUCACUUAUAGAUGGAUCCGCGCCGCAUUAGCUAGUUGGUAAGGUAACGGCUUACCAAGGCAACGAUGCGUAGCCGACCUGAGAGGGUGAUCGGCCACACUGGAACUGAGACACGGUCCAGACUCCUACGGGAGGCAGCAGUAGGGAAUCUUCCGCAAUGGGCGAAAUCUUGACGGAGCAACGCCGCUUGAGUGAUGAAGGUCUUCGGAUCGUAAAACUCUGUUAUUAGGGAAGAACAAAUGUGUAAGUAACUAUGCACGUCUUGACGGUACCUAAUCAGAAAGCCACGGCUAACUACGUG